rnacentral:lncRNA from 1 species
GUGAUUGGUGUGAUACUACUCAUUCUAGACUUUUAUUGGACUGUUUUUUCUUUCAUUAUAAAUUUUAAAAAUUAUCUGUCUGUUUUUUGUAAUUUUGUUCUUCUUUUAUUGGACUGUAUCUGGACUGUUUUUAUGUCUUGGCUCUGUUGUUUUCAUUGUGUCUUGGCUCUCGUGUCUUGGCUCUGUUGUUAUGAUCUUGAUUGUUUUUUUCCUUUUUUAAUCGUUAGAGAAGCAUGUCCUGUGUCUGUUCUAUGGUUCUCAUACUUUGAGAUUAGUUACUGUUCUAGUGUGGUUUUUGUUCCUGUCUCUGUUCCAUGGUUCUGAGAAUUUGAGAUAAGUUACUGCACCUGCGAACUUUUGAUUAUCAGUCCAUCUUGGCGAAGCUAAUGAGUCGUUGAGCUAUGAUUAGCUUUGAAUGCUAAUGGACUGACAUCAAAUACUUUCUCUUAGCCUAUUUUUGCAGAUAGGUAUUACAUCUAUUUUAGCACCUGUGAACUUUGUAACAGCAUCAGCAUAUGUCUUGUCUGGUAUAUGUUAUAUGUUAUAUGUCUGGUCUGUUAUACUUCCUAACUUGUUACAGAUAUGUAUUAU